UCCGCUGCGCCGCGAUCUCUCCUCACUACCACAGCUUGGUGUAGUGGAGAGGAGUGUGGUGUAGUGGUGUAGUGUACUGGAGUAGUGUAGCGAGCCAGUCCGAACACUCAAUAAGCAAUAUUCGGACCCGAUCCUUACCCGCCUUCGUAAUUCAGUAGCGAGGAUGGUGGGCCACGUGGUGUGUCCCCUACUGCUCAUCCUGGGGCUGCUCGUCCUCUCCUCCACACCGCUCAUCGUGGGAAGAAAAACCCCCAAAGCAACUGCCACCAGACGUCUACAAGAUUGCCGGAGGACACAAUGCUAACAGACCCGGAGU